GACCGAGGUGCCGAGCGUUAGGCGGAAUCACUGGGCUUAAAGCGUGUGUAGGCGGAUGUCUAAGUACUUUGUGAAAUCCCACGGCUUAACCGUGGAAUUGCUUGGUAUACUGGGGAACUUGAGUGCAGAAGAGGAAAGUGGAAUUCCAAGUGUAGCGGUGAAAUGCGUAGAUAUUUGGAGGAACACCAGUGGCGAAGGCGGUUCUCUGGGCCUGUACUGACGCUGAGGAGCGAAAGCGUGGGGAGCGAACAGG
rnacentral:rRNA from 1 species